rnacentral:misc_RNA from 1 species
ACGAUCUGCACCCUGUCAAAGGGUCGAUCCACAACUGUGCACCCUCUGCCGUGUUUGGCGGCAGGACGGUUCGAAGUUCCCCUGGGGUCGCAAGAUUCCCUGAGACUUGCACCGUCCGCGUCGGAGGUCGCGAGUCCUCGUUCCCCCGGCGUUUGCCGCCAGUGAAACAAACAUCUUGCACUUUGGACUGAUCAUUACGUCACGCAAGUGAUAAAAUCCGAAA